rnacentral:misc_RNA from 1 species
AAAAAGUGCUCGUUCUGAUGCAGCAUGGAAGUCGAUAAAAAUAAUUUUGAAGAAUAUUUACCAAAAAUAGAGGAAUCGAUAUCAAAGGCAGAUUUUGUUGCCAUUGAUACAGAGUUUACUGGAUUAAAUCUGAAUAAUGAAACAAAAAACAGUUUGUUUGAUACAAUUGAAGAGCGAUACAACAAACACAGGAGAAGUGUUCAACAGUUCACAAUCAGCCAGAUAGGUAUUUCAGCAUUUGUAAAGGAAAAUGAAAGGUAUGUUGCACACAGUUACAACAUGUACCUGUUUCCUGCCUCCUUUGGUCCUGUUGAUGUCCGCUUCAUGGUUCAGGCAUCAAGUUAUGAAUUCCAAAGAAGAUAUGAUUUUGAUUUUAACAAGUAUGUCUACUCUGGAAUAUCAUUUAUGAAUGAGGAGCAAGAAAAACAAGUUAAAACAUUCAUAAAAAGAAAAGAGAUCACUGCUGGGGUCGAAAGAGACGUUGAUGAGAACCUGGUACAGGACGUGUGUUCGGAGGUGGCAGAAUGGUACAGUCGAGCCGCGGUCGGAGACAGCCACACAGUCCUGAAGAAUGAUGGGACACGAAAACUGAAGUACAACUAUGUAUUUGAAAACGAAAUCAAAAAUAGGUAUGGUGAUGUCUGGACAUCAACAGAUAAUGACAGAAAUAUUGUAGUCACAAAAAUCACACAUGAAGAAAAAGCGGAGCGAGAGAACAAACAGAAAGCAGACAGCUCGGAACUUUUUAACAGUCUUAUUGGAUUCAGGAGAGUGUUUUUGGCAUUAGUUAAACAUCAAAAACCCCUGAUUGGUCACAACAUGUUGCUGGAUUUACUGCUGAUCUUUGAUAAAUUUCACAAGCCACUUCCUGCUCAUUACAAGGAUUUCCAGGAAGAGAUACACAGAAUAUUUCCUCUGAUUAUAGACACAAAGAGUAUUGCAACUCAUCUGAUUAAAAAGAAAUUAGACCUGAGGUUCAAUUCCACUCUUGGUGGUCUGUACCAUGUAUUUAGAAGUGCUGCAGGUCAGAAUUUUGUGAUCCAUUCACCAGUAAUAGCACAUGGAGAAGAUUUCACAAUUUACAGCAAUGAGACCUACUUGCCCCAUGAAGCUGGAUAUGACGCAUACAUGUGUGGCUAUUGUUUCCUAAGGAUGUGCCACAUACUAACCUUUAGUGAUGUUAAGUCCACUGAGGUGGUGCCCUGUACAUUCUCGAGGUACCUGAAUGAGAUUAAACCAUUCCAUAACAAGAUUAACAUGAUCAGAGCCAGUAUCAACUCUUUGGAUUUAUCAGGCAGUUCCAAAGAACCACAGAGACCUCUGGUGUUUGUUCAGUCUAAAACAGCCUCAUUUCAACUGAGUGCUUAUAAGCUUGCCAAGGAGUUUUCAAAGUUUGGAACAGUAGACAUCAAAUUACAGAGUAAAUCUAGAGCACUUGUGGCCACAGGAAAUAUAUACUGUGCCAGGGACCUAGUCAAGUUUUACAAAAAUGACAAGAGAAUGUCCGUCCACCAUUACAGUAAAUGGAGACACUCUCCUUAUUCCAAACCAGCUCUGUGGUACGUUAUGAUGUAACUUCAUAUAUUUUUUUGGACGGGGGUGAUUCUGUCUGGAGGUCUGUGUCUGUGGGCUUUGUGGAGCAGUAAGAAAAACAACACUUGAUAUUAGUGAUAUCUGUAAACUGAUAUCUACACCCACAGAUAUCAGUGUGAUACGGAUAUCAGAGGAAUAACUUGUGAUUAAAGAAAUCUUGUCUGUGAUCAUUUAUAGCAACAAAUUUGUGACAGCAAUAAAUUUUUAUGACAAGAUAUAUAUAAAAGAAACUAAAAGUGUUAAACAGUGCCAAACAAAACUGUGCUUUUUAUCACAUUGUUGUCAGACCAUAGCUGACUGUGAAAUAAAACAUUUUUAUUU